UACAGAGGUGGCAAGCGUUGUUCGGAAUUACUGGGCGUAAAGGGCGCGUAGGCGGUCCCCGUCAGUCCCUUGUGAAAUCCCCCCGGCUCAACUGGGGAACUGCAAGGGAUACAGCGGGGGCUUGAGUUCGGGAGAGGGAAGCGGAAUUCCGGGUGUAGCGGUGAAAUGCGUAGAUAUCCGGAGGAACACCGGUGGCGAAGGCGGCUUCCUGGACCGAUACUGACGCUGAGACGCGAAAGCGUGGGGAGCAAACAGG
rnacentral:rRNA from 1 species